UGGGGAAUAUUGGACAAUGGGCGGAAGCCUGAUCCAGCCAUGCCGCGUGUGUGAAGAAGACCUUUUGGUUGUAAAGCACUUUAAGCGAGGAGGAGGCUACUUGGAUUAAUACUCUAGGAUAGUGGACGUUACUCGCAGAAUAAGCACCGGCUAACUCUGUGCCAGCAGCCGCGGUAAUACAGAGGGUGCGAGCGUUAAUCGGAUUUACUGGGCGUAAAGCGUGCGUAGGCGGCUUCUUAAGUCGGAUGUGAAAUCCCUGAGCUUAACUUAGGAAUUGCAUUCGAUACUGGGAAGCUAGAGUAUGGGAGAGGAUGGUAGAAUUCCAGGUGUAGCGGUGAAAUGCGUAGAGAUCUGGAGGAAUACCGAUGGCGAAGGCAGCCAUCUGGCCUAAUACUGACGCUGAGGUACGAAAGCAUGGGGAGCAAACAGG
rnacentral:rRNA from 1 species